CCUACGGGAGGCAGCAGUGGGGGAUAUUGCACAAUGGGGGAAACCCUGAUGCAGCGACGCCGCGUGGGUGAAGAAGCGCCUCGGCGCGUAAAGCCCUGUCAGCAGGGAAGAAAAUGACGGUACCUGAAGAAGAAGCCCCGGCUAACUACGUGCCAGCAGCCGUGGUAAUACGUAGGGGGCAAGCGUUAUCCGGAUUUACUGGGUGUAAAGGGGGCGCAGACGGCGAUGCAAGCCAGGAGUGAAAGCCCGGGGUCCAACCCCGGGACUGCUCUUGGAGCUGCGUGGCUAGAGUGCAGGAGGGGCAG
rnacentral:rRNA from 1 species